rnacentral:rRNA from 1 species
AUACGUAGGGGGCAAGCGUUAUCCGGAUUUACUGGGUGUAAAGGGAGUGUAGGUGGUCUGGCAAGUCAGAUGUGAAAGCCCGCGGCUCAACUGCGGGACUGCAUUUGAAACUGUCAGACUGGAGUGCAGGAGAGGAAAGUGGAAUUCCUAGUGUAGCGGUGAAAUGCGUAGAUAUUAGGAAGAACACCAGUGGCGAAGGCGGAUUUAGGGACGAUAACUGAGACUGAGGCUCGAAAACGUGGGGAGCAAAAAGGAUUAGAUACCAGGGUAGUCCACGCCGUAAACGAUGAAUGCUAGGUGUCGGGUGGCAAAGCCAUUCGGGGCCGCAGCGAACGCAAUAAGUAUUCCACCUGGGGAGUACGGCCGCAAGGUUGAAACUCAAAGGAAUUGAGGGGG